ACGAACGCUGGCGGCAUGCCUAACACAUGCAAGUCGAACGAGACCUUCGGGUCUAGUGGCGCACGGGUGCGUAACGCGUGGGAACCUGCCCUUAGGUUCGGAAUAACUCCCCGAAAGGGGUGCUAAUACCGGAUAAUGUCUUCGGACCAAAGAUUUAUCGCCUUUGGAUGGGCCCGCGUUGGAUUAGCUAGUUGGUAGGGUAAAAGCCUACCAAGGCGACGAUCCAUAGCUGGUCUGAGAGGAUGAUCAGCCACACUGGGACUGAGACACGGUCCAGACUCCUACGGGAGGCAGCAGUGGGGAAUAUUGGACAAUGGGCGAAAGCCUGAUCCAGCAAUGCCGCGUGAGUGAUGAAGGCCUUAGGGUUGUAAAGCUCUUUUACCCGGGAUGAUAAUGACAGUACCGGGAGAAUAAGCUCCGGCUAACUCCGUG
rnacentral:rRNA from 1 species